AUUGAACGCUGGCGGCAGGCCUAACACAUGCAAGUCGAACGAGUGGCGGACGGGUGAGUAAUGUCUGGGAAACUGCCUGAUGGAGGGGGAUAACUACUGGAAACGGUAGCUAAUACCGCAUACCAUCGGAUGUGCCCAGAUGGGAUUAGCUAGUAGGUGGGGUAAAGGCUAACCUGGGCGACGAUCCCUAGCUGGUCUGAGAGGAUGACCAGCCACAAUGGAACGGAGACAAGGUCCAGACUCCGACGGGGUGAAGCAGAGGGGAAUAUCGCACACUGGGCGCAAGCCUGAUGAAGCAAUGCCGCGUGGAUGAAGAAGGCCUUCGGGUUGUAAAGUACUUUCAGCGGGGAGGCGUUACCCGCAGAAGAAGCACCGGCUAACUCCGUGCCAGCAGCCGCGGUAAUUC
rnacentral:rRNA from 1 species